GUUUUAACUUGAUCAAAUGGAAAACUGAGGCCUUUAGACCAGUAGUUCUCAACCUAUGGAAUGCAAAAAGCACAUGUGAGAUAUCCUACACAUCAGAUAUUUAUAUUAAAAUUCAUAACUAGUAGAAUUAUAGUUAUAAAGUAGCAAUGAAUACUUUUAUGACUGGGGAGUCACCACAACAUGAGGAAAUAUAUUAAAGGGUCACAGCAUUGGGAAGCUUACGAAUCCCUGCUUUAGACGAUUUGAAUCUUUCUACGCAUAGACUCCCAUCCUGAGCCUUUCUGGCAUUUUUAUAUGGACAUCCCUAUACUUCUUCCCUCAAGCAUUGUUUAAUAAGAAUGGUGUGCAGCUUGUGUGUGCUCAUAAGCGGGUCUCAGGAGAGUUGUAAAGGAGCGCCCUAUGUGGGAUUCAAGUGGCAUCUUGGUCACUAGUGAAUAACAUUCUUUCAACACAAGCCAGGCAAGGUGUAUAUCAGCACACACAUGGGGAGGAACCAGAAGAACAGAGACCAAUGGCUGGGGGUGUAGGUUUGAGGUGUGUACCAAGAAGAGCUAAUGAGACAGCUUCAGUAGAUGGCUGGGGAAAAGCAGAGAGCUCCUUGUUCCUAGAGGGGUAUAGGCAGGAAGAGAUGAGAAUGGCACAGGAAGUAUUCCUUGACCUGGAGAAUCUCCAAUUCUUACACUCUACCUCAUGUCCGAGAAUGUCUGCCAUAGUAACUUUAAAUUCCCAAUUCUUGCUUCACCACAUUCCAGGAGGAACAAAGUUCAUUGCUACAAUGCGUGUGUGUGUUUGAUUGUUUAAUUUGUUUUUUGUUUGGUUGAUUGGUUUUGGGUUUUUGUUUUUGUUUUUGUUUUUUUUGUUGUUUUUUUUUUUUUUUUGGUUUCUGUUUGUUUUUCUGGUUUUUGUUUGGUUUUGGUUUUGGUUUCGUUUUGUUGUGCUGUGUUGUGGGUUUUUUUCAGAGAGACCUUCACCUUGUUGUCCAAACUGUUCUCAGACUCUUGGACUUAAGUGUCCUCUCUGCCUCCAGCUCCUCUGUAGCAGAGGCAACAGGCAUUUCCAUGCAGCUUCUCCUGUGGUUUGGAAGCACUAAGUCUCCGUGACCUUUUCUCACAGUCCAGCUCCCCUGAGAAGUCGGUGCUAACACAGAACUAACCACAAAAGGAUGCUGUGACUAACAACACAUGUGAGAGCAAACCAGAAAGGACUGAAAGAACCAGGGGAGUUCCAGGGAUUGGAAAGGAGUUGACGUUAUCUAUAACAUGUCAAAGUGGCCACCAAGGUGGCUCAGCAGAUCACUUGCCACACACUCCUGAUAAUCUGCAUUCAAUCCCUGGAAGCCAAGGAAACAGACAGAUAAAGUGGCAGGAAUCUGUAAUUCUUGUAUUCCUAAAGUGAGAUGCAAGGUGGAGACAGUAGAAUCUCCUGGCAGCUUGCAGGUCAGCUACCCUGGAGUACCCAGCUUGACAGAGGAGAGUCACUGCUUCAAUAAGGUAGAAGGAGAAAAACUAACUCCUAAUGUUGUCUUCUACACACAUACCAUAGCACAUAAGCACAAGUGUAUGCAUAUCUUUAUCUAUAUCUAGAUAGAUAGACAUACCCAUGACAGCACCAACAUAAAUAAUAAAUAAAAUUUAACGACAAGAAAUAAAUAGUGCCCAGAGAGACAGACUCAGGAAUAUUGCAAGUCUAGCUUGAGUGAAGGAGACAAAGGAGGAAGUCUGGGCAGAAGCAUCCUUAUCGAGCCUGCCACGCUGUCUAAAGAGGCUUCGGACAGUUUGGGGAAUGUGGUUCCCAAGCUCAUAUGACUAAUCGCAGAGGCUCUGUAUGCCCUGGUAACACAACUGCCUUGCUGUAGUCACUGUCCUCAGCCAGUGGAAAGCGAGUCAGGGGAAAGCUUAACUGUGAGAACAUGGGUGGGUUUCAGAUCAGUCACCUGGUACAUACAGUCACUAUCCUUGUCGUUGGAGGAAGUCUGUGGCUUGGCCUAAUGCCAGUCCUGAGUCCCCUGGAUGACUGAUCCUGGAUGACUGAUGAUCUUUCUCUCUCUCUCUCUCUCUCUCUCUCUCUCUCUCUCUCUCUCUCUCUCUCUCUCUCUCUCUCUCUCUCUCUCUUUCUCUCUCCCUCCCUCUCUCCCUCUCUCUCUCCCCCCAAGAUCUCUAAGGCUACCCUUGAACUCCAGAACUUCCUUCCCGCUCCCAAAUGCUGGAACCACAGGUAUAGGGUACCUGUGUUUCAUGGGUUCAUUCCUUUUGGAAGCAAAAUACAUUUGGCCACACGGGUACCCAGCAAUGAUUUAUAACGUGAAUGAAUGAAAUUACAGUUUCUAGGUGUCCCCUGAACAUCUUCACACAAGGAGAGAAAGGUAAACCCCAUAACCCUAAAAGCACACACGUGACCCGUUCCCCAGCCCAUCCUCUGAUUGUGGAUUGCUGUCUGCUUCAGGGGGCAAGCAUCUUCAUAGGCUUGCUCAAGGAGGCUCUUGAGCAAGUCUAGCUCUGUCUAACUAGCUGUCUUCUUUGCUCAAAAACCUGGGGAGGUUUCAGUCUUCUUUGAGCUUGACUAUUAAAGGCAAGCUCACAUCUUGCCAGUCUUUGGGGUCAACCCAAGCCUCUCAGACUACCUAUCUCAGUCACUCUGUCAUCUUUUCCCCCAGCUGCCCCACCUUAGGGCAGGGGGCAAGGGAAGCUGAUGUUCAUCUCAUAACAGGAAGUAUGCAUAAACAUAAAUUAAGAGUAACAUCCAUAAAGGACUGGAUCACCAUAAACAACUCACACCCACACUUGGAGCACAGGGCCAGCACCCCAUAGAAAAGUUGAUAAACGAAGGUAUUAUAUAGAGUACUUAAGGUGUUAUGGUCCUUUUUUUGGCAGGAGAGUUGAAGAUGUGAUCAGCUAAGUCAUAUUAGGUAAUUCUGAGGUACAGUGGCUCCUCAUCCAGUGGUUUGGUUGUUUGGUUUCAUGUAGCCCAGGCUAGCUUCAAACUCUUUAUGUAGCUAAGGCUCUCCCUGUCUCCACCAACCAAGUGCUGGCAUGACAAGGAUAAGCCACUGUACCAGCUUGUCCGCUAUGGUGGAUUUGUGUAUUUGUGUGUGUACAUGUCUGGGCAGGCGCACUCAUUCAUGCAAUCAUGUGUGGAGACCAGAAGUCAAUAUUACAUGUCUCCCUUAAUUACUCGCCACCUUUUUGUUGUUGUUUUGUUUUGUUUUUACUGUGGAUAUAGAGUCUCUCAUUGAACCUGGUUUGGGUUGGACUGGCUGGCCAACAAACCCUCAAAAUUCUUCGUUUUCCAUCCCCCAAUGUUGGUGUUAUGGACACAUGCCACUGUAACCAGCUUUUAUGUGAGUGUUGAAAAUCCAAACCAUAGUCCUUAUGCCUGCACUGUAUCGUACCUUACCCACUGAUCUGUCUCCCUAGCCCCUUGACUAGUGUGGGUACAGAUAGUGUCCUACAAAGAUGAAAAGUGUCUUCUAGGAGCCAAAGAAGACCAAAGAAUCGGGGGAGGAGUAUGCAACCGGCUUCUCAUGCUUUUAGUGGGAACCAACUCUCUUGGCACCUUAACCAAACCUCCAGCCUCCAGACCCAUGCAUCCCUUCUGUUUAAGGCACCCUGUAAAUAUUUGUCAUAUCAGCCCCGGAGAACUAACACAGGGAGGAAAAAACCAAGCCAACGUGAUAAUCGCCUUCAAUAUUUACUUACCAAAGAACCCUAUAUGAUUACCUUGAAGCAAUUAAUAUCGCUAAGAGGGAAAGAAAAAAAAACAGCUGCUUAUCAGAAGACCCAUUCUGAUGGGGCAAUACACAAAUGUUUUCAAACAGCUGGUACCUUGUGAGAAGAGGCCCCUGUCAACAGGAUAUUCCUGUUGGCAUGGGACUCCUUAUUUGCCUAAAACAACAGAGCCCCAUUUCUGCAACAGUCAACCUAUACAAACAAGGAAAUCUGGAGAAAUCAGAAAACGCAGACAUCAUAGAAAAUCCCCUGGACAUGAUCGUAGACAACACUGGCUGAAGCACAACACAAACACCCAAGAGCAUACAAAAGCUUGCCUUUUGAAAGCUUAGGCAUCUCCCUGGGAACGUUGCACCCAAGUACCUCUAAAAGGAAAAGCGUGGAACGUUAAGGCUGGAAGAGAGCUUAGGGAUUAUCCAUCCCAUCUUACUGGUUGAGAAAACUCUCUCCCCAGGAGGGACAUUUGUCCCAAGUCACCCAGCAGCAAAUGGCUGAUGAAACUCUGGACCCUACCUUUUUCGACUCCAAGUUGAUGGUCCUUCCCUCUGUCACCCCUCUCCCUCUCUCAUUCCCAGACAGCUGUCUCUGUGGUUCCCAUUCCUAGGUCCUGCCUGUGCUUCUGGCUCUCAUACAAUGCUGGUUUCACACUCUCUCUCCAAGCCCUGUAAGUGUGUGAGAAUUCCUCAAAUUUAUUCCAAGGAGCUGGUACUCAGAGUGACAUGGUGCUCCCCAGGAGGCUGCUCUGUCUCCCAGAGGCAAAACUGGUGGCCUGGCAGUCUUCCCUCUGUGACUUUCUUUGUCGCUGGGACUGUUUCCAAGGGGACCCUUAUAUAUCUUCAGUGGUGUGUAGGACUGUAGAGGCUUGGGGAAAGCUAUCACAGUGUCCAACACCCAGCCUAGGCACACCACCAAGCAGUCACACCUCUCACUCAUGGCGCACAUGAUUCUUAUGCUGCCUGCUUAUGUCUGGGUCUCCGUGUAGCAAUGAGAUCAACGCCAUGGGGUCUGACAGGCUAGUUGUUGGCCCAUGCAGCCUUCUCUCCACCACGCUAUUAUUCAAGUUCAGCCUGUGUUGUGCCUUGUAAAAUCACUGUCCCUUGUUUGGAACAAGAUCAGGUCUCAAGUCUUUGAUCUACCGCCUGGCCUGUCUGUGACACAGUAUGCCGUGUUUCUCUUCUCAGAUCCUACCUUCCUCCUUUCAAGUAAAAAUAACAUAGCUGUCUGUGCAUGGUGGCAUAUGCCUUUAGUCCCAGCACUCAAGAGGCAGAGGCAGGUGGAUCUCUCUGAGUUCAGGGCCAGCCUGGUCUACAUAGUGAAUCCCAGGACAGUCAAGUCUAUUAUUAUAUGGAGAUACUCUGUCUCAAAAAGCCCCCCAAAAAUAAAUAAAAUUUUUUUAAAAAAAUUUAAAAAAAGAAGAAGAAUGUGAGUCUAUAG
rnacentral:lncRNA from 1 species